GCCUGGGUGGCUCAGUUGGUUAAGCGUCUGACUUCAGUUCAGGUCAUGAACUCGCAGUUUGUGGGUUUGAGCCCCGUGUUAGGCU
rfam:Felis catus isolate Cinnamon breed Abyssinian chromosome D2, whole genome shotgun sequence.